rnacentral:rRNA from 1 species
GGCUAACUCCGUGCAAGACGCGUGGGGAAUACGGAGGACCCAAUGUUGAUCCCAAAUCAUGUGGUUUUAAGGGUACGUAGGCGGCCUGAUAAGUCAGCGGUGAAAUUGUUUUGCUUAACUAAAAAAGUGCCAUUGAUACUGUAGGGCUUGAAUAUUUGUGAAGUAACUAGUAUAGGUAUUGUAGCCGUGAAAUGCUUAGAUAUUACAUGGAAUACCAAUUGCGAAGGCAGGUUACUAACAAAUGAUUGACGCUGAUGGACGAAAGCGUGGGUAGCGAACAGGAUUAGAUACCCGUGUAGC